GUUAAACGGGCCAAGCAGGCGGGGUGGCCGGGAGCUAGGGGGAGCCUUGGAGCUGAAGGGUGGGGAAGGUCGGAGGUGCUGGAAGCGUCUGGUGUCCGGCUUGGGCUGUUCUCUGUUAAAGGAGUUACUAAAACACUGCUCACUGGGGCAGGGAUUUAGCUCAGUGGUUCUGGCGCGGUGCACACCGGUAGUUCCAGCACUUGGGAGGCUGAGGCAGGAGGAUUGCCAUGAGUUCAAAGCCAGCCUGAGCUAUACAGCGAAACCCUGUCUCAAAAUAAAAAAGUAUCCUUGCUGCCCUGCUACAGCUGUCAAGAGUCAGCCUGACCCUAGGCUGCGGAGGAAGGAAGGCGGGGCUGCCGCUCUGCCCUGCAGCUGUCCCGGAUGUCCCCACGGCAGGGGGUGGGGUGGGGCAGGACGGUGAUUUACCACGGUGAUGACUGUGCAGCCUGAUCGGCCCCUUAUCUCCCACACACUUCCUGCCCCCGGGCGGGCCCCUCCCCUGCACCCCUCCUGAGAGGGGUCACCAGUUGGAGGUGGGCCAGGCUGCUGCACAGUGACCCGUGAAGAGGUCAAUGGCAGCGGGGCACAGCGGUGCACACCGGUAGUUCCAGCACUCUGGGAGGCUGAGGCAGGAGGAUCACAAGUUCAACCCAGCCAGGGGAAUUUGGCAAAACCCUGUCUCCAACUAAAAAAUAAAAAGGGGGGAGAGAGGUAGCUCCAUGGGAAGGAUCUGGGUAGCGACACCUCGUUUUUGGGGACCUGCAGAGCUCCCCUCCCAUGGGGUUUUAUUUUCUCUGGCUCAGUUAUCACCAACUGAAAUAAAUGAUCUCAUUUGUGAAGAUUAAGAGCUUAAGGUCUAGAUCUGGAUGGCUCAGGUGAAAAUCCCCAGCUCUGCUACCUCCUGGAUGUGAAAACUGAGACAAAUAGCCUGACCCCCCCCCCGCCCCGCACUGGGACUCAGUUUCCCCAUCCACCAGAAAACCCACAGCCAGGCACACGGCUCUCUCUGACCUCCUGGUGGCCUUCACAAGAGUGUGGCUCCUACAGGAGGGCCAGGCGGGACACAGACACCAGUCACACUUCCAAGUGAACAGGAGAAGCUGGGUGUGGUGACACACACCUGUCAUCCCAGCACUCAGGAGGCUGAGAUGACAGGUGUGGGACUUGAACCCUCUUCCCGUGGCCACAGGGCUGUCAUGGGCACCCAGUCGGCCUCCAGAUGGGAGAGCCAGCUGGGGCCAGCCCCUCUGGAAGAGGACAGCGGGGCAGGGGCGGCCCCAGCUGGAGGCUGUGGCCUGAGGUUGUCUGGGCUGCCGGCCAGGCUGAGCAGUGAGUCACAGCCCAGGCAGGCGCGCAGAGCCCGGCCUCUCCCGCAGUGAGAUCAGCCCGGCAGCCACAUUCCUCCCUUGGGCAGCCCUGGUGGGCAGGGGGCGGGGGCAGGGCACAGACAUUCCCUCAUCUCUCCUCGGGAAACUGAGGCCAUGGCGCUGGGGGCAUGGCCAGUGGGGUCCUGCAGCAGGGAGGUGACCAGGGCCACCGCUGCCUGCUUCCUCUCCCUGGCACUCGGGUUUGCCAGGUGCAGGGACCCGUCUGUCCUCCUCCAGUGCCUGGCACCUCCGUCACAGGAGUGAGCUUCUGGCCCCAUCUUGGUGGGAACGGCCACCAAGGUGACAGCAGCAACUCAGCCCCUGGCCAUGGGCCCAAUGCCACGCUGGCCUCGCAUGAGGCUUUGUCUCCAGCACCGGCAAUGGCUGAGGCAUUUCCUGUGGACACAGGGAGGGGCGGGUGCCACUGGCAUCUGGGGGUGGAAGCCAGGGAGGGCGCCAAGUGUUCUAUGGUGUCCAGAGGAGGUCACAGGACAGGGGGUUGUCUGGCCCCGUGUCACUAGGGCUGGGACACGGGCUGCUCUGGCUCAAGACUUGCUCUUGGGAGGCCGAUGGGACAGAUGGGGGCCACAUAAAAGCGUCGGAUAGAGGGCUGGGGAUUUCGCUCAGUCGUUCCGCCUCCUGACUCGCAAGCAAGCGCAAGGACCUGAGUUCGAUCCCCGGUAACAAAAACAAAAGCAUCCUAUGGAAGCCGAGCGUGGUAGUGCUCACCUGUAAUCCCAGCACCGGGGAGGCUGAGGCAGGAGGUUCACCGAGUUGGAGGCCUCCCUAAGCUGCAUAGAGAGACCCUGAAAAAAGAACCCAGUGGUGGUGUAGGUCAGUCCGAGCGCUUGCCUGCCAUGUAGGAGGAGGCCCUGUGUUCCAUCCUCAGCACUAAAUAAAAACAAUCCAACAAAAAUCGAGAAUCUAUCACCCCA
rnacentral:lncRNA from 1 species